AAGCCUUGCGGGAGCCCGGCAGGAGGGGGAUGUCUGCCUCGGCGGUACCCCCAGUUUGUUUUCUUAGUGGCUCUUUGAUGUCUUUUUCAGCGUGUCAGCUGCCGGGUGAACUCUUGUGUUCCCACACACACAAAGCCGGCUGAACAUCCCAGCCAACAUCAACACUCCCCCCCAAAGCAGAUUUGGCAUCAUCGUGAGCGCUGGAAUAAAUUUCUCGACUGUUUGAUAGGGUGCUGGCGUGCUCACAGACAGCUCAGCAAAACAAGACUGGGGACAUCCCUGAGUUCUCAAAAACACCGUGUCUGUACAGCAAAACGUUGCUUUAUCAGACGCAUAAAUUCCAAACGUGUGUUCCUCUAAGUCCUGAGCUUGGCAGUCUUCCUGAUGCAGACAAGAGAUGCUUUAUAAGUCAUCACAAGAGGCCUUCACAAGAAGAACAGUGAUGUUUAUUUUGGGGAAUUCUAAUUCCUCAGCUUUGGCACUCCUGCAGCUGUCUCCUCAGCAACUCCUGUGUUGUCAUCUGAUUCAACACAUGCUCAAGGAACACUUACAAAGGGAGUUGAGUCAUCUCCUAAAUCUGGACCAUCAUCCUCUGAACACAAAAACCUUCCUCUGCAGGACUUAAG